rnacentral:rRNA from 1 species
UACGGAGGGGGCUAGCGUUGUUCGGAAUUACUGGGCGUAAAGCGUACGUAGGCGGCUUUGUAAGUUAGAGGUGAAAGCCCGGGGCUCAACCCCGGAAUUGCCUUUAAGACUGCAUCGCUUGAAUCGCGGAGAGGUGAGUGGAAUUCCGAGUGUAGAGGUGAAAUUCGUAGAUAUCAGGAAGAACACCUAUGGCGAAGGCAGCUCUCUGGGACGGUACUGACGCUGAGACGCGAAAGCGUGGGGAGCGAACAGG